CUUCAGUGAAGAUGAGAUGACGAGUCUGAAAGGGAAUGUCCUUGUCCAAGGGCUCAGUUCCCUCUUGUGUUCUACAGCAUGGAUCUGGGGACCUUGGGUCACAAGUUGAGUGACUUAGAGGCAUUUAUCUGAGAAGG
rnacentral:snoRNA from 1 species